GUGAUCGUGGUGUACCGGUUGUGCACGCCGGAUUGUGGCUCCGGAGGGCGUGGGUUCAACUCCCCGCGAUCGCCCCA
rnacentral:tRNA from 1 species